GAUGAACGCUAGCUACAGGCUUAACACAUGCAAGUCGAGGGGAAACGACAUCGAAAGCUUGCUUUUGAUGGGCGUCGACCGGCGCACGGGUGAGUAACGCGUAUCCAACCUGCCCACCACUUGGGGAUAACCUUGCGAAAGUAAGACUAAUACCCGAUGAUAUCCCUAGAAGACAUCUGAAAGGGAUUAAAGAUUUAUCGGUGAUGGAUGGGGAUGCGUCUGAUUAGCUUGUUGGCGGGGUAACGGCCCACCAAGGCAACGAUCAGUAGGGGUUCUGAGAGGAAGGUCCCCCACAUUGGAACUGAGACACGGUCCAAACUCCUACGGGAGGCAGCAGUGAGGAAUAUUGGUCAAUGGACGUAAGUCUGAACCAGCCAAGUAGCGUGAGGGAAGACUGCCCUAUGGGUUGUAAACCUCUUUUGUUUGGGAAUAAAGUGAGCCACGUGUGGUUUUUUGCAUGUACCCUAUGAAUAAGGACCGGCUAAUUCCGUA
rnacentral:rRNA from 1 species